rnacentral:lncRNA from 13 species
GGUCGCGGUGCGUCGCAGCGCGUUUCAACUCGUAUCCUCGUCAUCCCGUACGAUUGUUUGAUGCGAGCGAGUGUCUCGAGAGUGUCGUGGACUGCCGAACGUGAAGUGUCGACGCUCGCAUCGACAGCCGUCGUGUCGAAUGCAUGGUGCGAAGUCACGUCGCGUUCAAUCGCGUUUCACAGCUUCUCCGUUGCCUCUUAUUCCGAGUUUCCGACACGCGCGUGAGCACCAGGAGGGUUUCGAGAGUUCCGAAAACGAAGACUCGUGCGUUCGUAGUAAGUAUGAAUCAAGACGAAUCGUCGUGAGGAGAAUCUUGGAUUUUCCGUGUCACUCGGACGACAAUGGACGGUCGGUCGGGACGGCGCGAAGUUAAUUGCGUCGCGCGUUCAAUCGUGUCUUCUCCGUUGUCCCCGUAUCCCGUAUCUCGAGUUUUCGACAGGCGUGAGUACCGGGGAUACCGAAAACGAACCAAGCGUCGUGCGGAUCUUGAAUCUUCGAAAGCCGUGGGCGCCGUGGCUGAAACUACGAGACGGAGCUGGACGGAACGACCAGCGGCGAACAAUAUUUCUCGAGAUGGAAAACGAUGAGAAGAGGACAUCACUCACGUCGCCGACUUAUAAUAAAAUAAACGAACCGCAGCCGGUUCGUCGUGUCGCGCGAAUUUUUUCCGGGAGUGUCGUUUAAGUAUUGGACUAAUGAACUUUAAAUAACUCCCAUUCGAUAGAAUCCUAAUUCGAGGGCCAGGAAUCGUACCCCCGCUGCUUGGCAGUGAAUAUUCUUACUGGGGCGUUGCGUAUGGUGGGUGUGCGCGCCGCAUCGCGACGUUUCAUGCCGAGUGCCCGUGCACGAGGUAAUGCCGGGCCGCAUGUACGACAUGUUCGUGUGCAUGUUGCGCGGCUGUCUGGUUGUGUGAGUUUACACGCUCUGUCUCCGGCGAUCGGUUCGGUCCUAAGCGGUUAGAGUUCGGAUCGGUUGCCUUGGGUUCGCGCGUUUCUCUUGCUCUCGUCCACCAUCCUAAGGCUUUCUUAGAUUCUUGAUACUCUUUUUGGAUUCUUUGGAUCUGGGGUUCGAGCUGGGUGAAUGACGUUUAAUCUGACUUGGUCAGAACUUGGCCUUGUAGGUUAAGCUUGUGACGAGAGGCUGGCUCUCAUUUCCUGAUUCGUCUAAAAUGCUAGACGUCUGCAAUGAGUACCUUCUUCUCUCGUCCUGCCGGAGUGUCUUGUCGACGCCGCUUGGAUAUAAGAUCCAGUGGGACUGAUUAAGGUGAUCCGUUGGCUGGGCGUAUGAACGAGUCAAUUUUAGACAUGAUUUUUGUGAGACCAGAGGCGUCGGAUUCAAUGCUAUUGAUUUCGUCUUCUUCCGCGUAGGACUUACCCUUGUUCGGGGGUGGGUACGCGUGCGUUCUACUCGUCGACUCGGGGUGCUGAAUCCACGGGAAUCCCUCUGAAUGGAAACUCAUAUCAUGGGUUUUAUAAACCCGAAGUAUCGUGCAAAAAACUUUAUAAAUAAUUAGUCCACGCGCGCAAAUUUAGUAUAUUUUUCGCGAGUGUUCCGCGUGUGCAACAAGUGGAAGAGGACAACCUGUAGGACACUGAGAGGAGGAGGAGGCCUGGGAGAGGUAUCGGGCUCCAGCGGAGCAACCUUGGGUAUCAUCGUAGCUUCGUGGCUGAGUAACUCCGCUCGUUGCGCAUCGGUCGGUGAGUCAGAAAUCAAUGUUCUUAUAUUUCAA